UGUAUUAAUUUGCUAUGUUACGCACUUGUAAGACGGAGAAAACCUAAAUGUAUUAUGUAUAUUGAAAAUUUAAAUUAGAUCUAUAUUAUCUAUAUAUUAAUCAAAGUCAAAAUCUGUUUGUUAUUCUGUCUAAAAUUCAAAAGGGGCUUAACUGAAUCGGUUGAUUUCGUUUUCGUUGUGUUCGUAAAAGGUUUGUACGUAAGAAAAUUCGAGAAAAACCCAACGGAAGAGUAGGAAAUACUUGCGAGCCUGUUCCACCGACACAACUUGCAAUUUUUAGCUUGGCACUUUUCCUUUUCAUUCCACAAUCGAGAAUUGUAUAGGUACUUUUCAAUUCAUGUACGAACGUUUUGUUAUUACGUUCCCACAAACACUUUUAAAUUUCUUAUCAUGUUAUCUGACAGCUGUUAUCUCUUUUGCAUUUUAUUUCAUUUACUGUUAACUGCUGUUAUCAUCGUUUGAUACUCCGAUCGUCGUAAUAUCUUAAACUUCUUCGCAUUUUACCUACUCUGAAUUUUAAAUGUUCACGUUUUGCUAAAGUGACGAAGUACCUAAUUAAAAAACCAAAGUGAAUUGGCAUUGUUAAACGCAAUCCGUGAAAGGAAAGCUGUGUUGCUCGGCAGUUUCAACUCCACAAACAACGUUGAAAAAGUGUUCACAUUAUUGCCCAAUAAUUUUAGCUCGUCUGUGCUGAUCGACCGUGGCAGUUUACCAGAGACAAGCUGUAUGGAUUGUUAUGGAGGCUUAGCUAAUAAGAAGAAGGUAGAAGCGGAAAUUGCCAACGACAAACUUGACCUUAUACAAAUAGAAAUUUAUGUAAGGAAACUUAAGGUUUUAAAAUUAUAGAUGGAAUUCUGUAUUCCACCUUCAGAAUUCACUGAAGAUUUUUGUAAAAACAAAGUGGAGGAUCUCUAUUUCUAUGAAGUGGCUUAUGAUCCAGUAUCAUUAAACUCUGUAAAAGAACGAUUAUCAUCCAAGAGCAUAAUAUACAUAAUUCACCGAAGUAAUAUUCAAUAUUAAAAGAAUAUAUUCAAGCUCUUUAUUGUAUUACCCUGUUGGUGAUCCAUAUCAUGAAAUGGCUCAGAAACAAGAAAUUUUUUAUUUGAAGUGCUCGCUUAAUGGAUACCACACUACCGAGAUGGUCAUAGUUCCAUAGUACUUCCAAAUAAUAAAAAUGCAUAAGUUUUAAGAAUUAUGAAAUUGUAUGGAAGUAAAUAUUUAGAAUGAUAAGGAAGCCUUAGUUUUUGUAUCUAAGUAUUUUUUAAAAUGUAUUAACUAUUAAUGUAAUUUACAUAUAUUAUAAUAUGCAUUUUUAUGCAGCUCAAUAUAUUUUAUCAAUGAUAAUGAUACCUGUAGCAAACCAGCGUAUUCUUCCCUCGCACGCAAUCGUCGUUCUUUAUCCAAACCUGAAAUGUAUUAACAUGUUGACUGCCAUGCUGCUGCAGGCAUCUGCAGAGUACUAGGAUACAACAGUAUUUUUACAGACACCGGCGGUCACACCUUAUUAUUAUUUAUACGCCAUAUGACCGCCCGCUUAACUUUUCCAUAACGCUACAAUAAUGCACUAAAAAAGUGUCGUGGCAUAGCGGAAAUCAUUAUAAUUUUUUUUCAAACAAUAUUAUAUACAAAUUUGUAAUGACACCUUAAAAUAUACUUAGUGUGCCAAUGAUACAUACUGUGUGACCGCCAGCGGGCGCAUGGCAAUCAACAUGUUUAUGGUCUAAUGUUUGGCACGAUUGACUUACCAACUCUCGUAUCACAAAUUAAUUGUAAAGUUCCUCUUCGCCUAACUGGUUAACACAUUCCAUUUCACAUUCCUACAUCCUCCACAAAUUAUAUUAUGCUCAAUGAACCAUUUUGUAUAUUAAUGUGUGCAGUCCAAUUAGAACCCCUAUUCUGUAGUUUAAUAAAUUAUA